rnacentral:rRNA from 1 species
UACGAAGGACCCAAGCGUUAUCCGGAUUUAUUGGGUUUAAAGGGUGCGUAGGCGGAUUAUUAAGUCAGUGGUGAAAGCCUUCAGCUUAACUGAAGAACUGCCAUUGAUACUGAUGAUCUUGAGUAUGAUUGAGGUGGGCGGAAUGUGUCAUGUAGCGGUGAAAUGCUUAGAUAUGACACAGAACACCGAUUGCGAAGGCAGCUCACUAAGCCAUAACUGACGCUGAUGCACGAAAAGCGUGGGGGAGCAAAACAGG